GAUCCAGGCGUCGCGGGGAGUACACACACGUCUCUCAGCUGCGGGAGACCAGUGUUCACGCCCCAUUCCCUUGUCUGCGCCUCCUACAACCUGAACCCCUUCGCCAGAGCACCUGCGGCCCUCACACACGCACUCCUCGUAUCCUGAAGGACAUCUUUGGCAAGUGGGGAGUCUCCGUGCCUUGUUACCUUGUCUGCGCCUUCGUCAGGACAGUGGCAAAGGAGGAGGAAGAGGGAAGAGGAAGAGGAAAAGGAAGAGAAGGAGGAAGAGGAGGAGGAGGACGGAGAGGAGGAAGUGAGGACAGAUUAUGAAGUGGAACCAAGAUUGGCGGGAAAAAAAGGAGAAAAUGAAAUGAUAAAUAGAUAAAUAGAUGAAAACUGAAGGAAAGAAGGAAUAGGGAGAGAAAUUGAAGUGAAUGGGCGUGUGAGAUAGAGA